UAGCUUUUGUUAAGAACUUUUCCUUGGUUUCGUUCUUACUUUUGAAAAGGGAACCAAUUGCAACAUUUUCACAAUUUUCAAAUAAAACAAUGUUCCUUAUCAAGUUUACAAUGACUUUGACAAGUCCUUCAAAAAAUGUGUCUAUUUUUGCAUAAGCAUAGCAUGCAUCAUUUUGCAUUCAUAAUUUCAAGUCCGAGUCUUACUCUGUGUCUUUUCUACUAAAGGUCAAUCCAUCUCAAAGGUGUCCCAACUGUCCUCGUCCAAAGUUAACUCGCACCUACAACAUUCGUGCAAACAAAAAAGAGAACGUAUUAGUUUGAACAAGAAAUCCACGAGCAUUCGUGAAGAGGUAACAACACUAUUGACGUUCCUUCCGCUACUUUUUGUUCAAUUAAUGUUUGUUUGUUGCUUUUCGCUUUUCAAAAAAAUCCUUUCGUCCCGCCCGAGAUGAAAGUGAUCUUGUGUAGGGCUUUUUGCUUUAAGUAUUGGUCAUCAUUAAUAAAAAGGUCGUUUUGAUCCCGACUUUAUUUUAUUUUAUGCUCUUUUCUGAAAAAUGGUAAUACAAAAAACCCAAAAAAAAAUAAUAAUAAUCAUUCUCAUAUAUCUGCAUAAUCAUAGCUUGUACUUACUUGUCAAAAUCAAUAAUCAAAUCAUGCAUUAAUAAACCCGUUGAACAUAAUAACUAUGUACUCUCUCCCAACUUUGAGUUCUCUGUGACCGAAGAUAAGGAAGAGGAGAA
rnacentral:lncRNA from 1 species